rnacentral:tRNA from 5 species
GGGCCUGUAGCUCAGUUGGUUAGAGCAGUGGACUCAUAAUCCAUUGGUCGUAGGUUCAAGUCCUACCGGGCCCACCA